rnacentral:hammerhead_ribozyme from 1 species
ACCCAGCUGACGAGUCCCAAAUAGGACGAAACGCGCGUCCUCGAU